rnacentral:rRNA from 1 species
AUUGAACGCUGGCGGCAUGCUUUACACAUGCAAGUCGAACGGCAGCGCGGGCUUCGGCCUGGCGGCGAGUGGCGAACGGGUGAGUAAUGCAUCGGAACGUGCCCAGUAGUGGGGGAUAGCCCGGCGAAAGCCGGAUUAAUACCGCAUACGACCUGAGGGUGAAAGCGGGGGACCGAAAGGCCUCGUGCUAUUGGAGCGGCCGAUGUCGGAUUAGCUAGUUGGUGGGGUAAAGGCUUACCAAGGCGACGAUCCGUAGCUGGUCUGAGAGGACGACCAGCCACACUGGGACUGAGACACGGCCCAGACUCCUACGGGAGGCAGCAGUGGGGAAUUUUGGACAAUGGGGGCAACCCUGAUCCAGCAAUGCCGCGUGCGGGAAGAAGGCCUUCGGGUUGUAAACCGCUUUUGUUCGGGAAGAAAUCCUCUGGGCUAAUACCCAGGGGGGAUGACGGUACCGGAAGAAUAAGCACCGGCUAACUACGUG